rnacentral:rRNA from 1 species
UACGAAGGGGGCUAGCGUUGUUCGGAAUCACUGGGCGUAAAGCGCACGUAGGCGGAUCGUUAAGUCGGGGGUGAAAUCCCGAGGCUCAACCUCGGAACUGCCUUCGAUACUGGCGAUCUUCGAGUCCGGGAGAGGUGAGUGGAACUCCGAGUGUAGAGGUGAAAUUCGUAGAGAUUCGGAAGAACACCAGUGGCGAAGGCGGCUCACUGGCCCGGUACUGACGAUGAGGUGCGAAAGAGUGGGGAGCAAACAGG